rnacentral:misc_RNA from 1 species
GAUGAAGAACGUAGCGAAAUGCGAUAAGUAAUGUGAAUUGCAGAAUUCAGUGAAUCAUCGAAUCUUUGAACGCACAUUGCGCCCAUUAGUAUUCUAGUGGGCAUGCCUGUUCGAGCGUCAUAUCAACCCUCAAGCCUUAGUUGCUUGGUGUUGGGAGCUUAUCUUGCCGAAAGGCGGGACAACUCCUUAAAUUUAUCGGCGGAGUCGCGGUGACCCCAAGCGUAGUAAAUUAUUUUUUCCUCGCUUUAGGUGUUAACGCUGGCUUUUCUAGCCGUUAAACCCCCCCUAAUAUUUUAAUGGUUGACCUCGGAUCAGGUAGGACUACCCGCUGAACUUAAGCAUAUCAAUAAGCGGAGGA